CAAAUACCUUUGAAGUCAGAAGAGACACAAUUUGGAAGUGAAAUUGGGACACAUCCGCAGGAAGUCCCAAUAAUGACUGAAGUGUAUCAAGGAAAUGACAUGAUGCCAUGCAGGAAAUUGCUGGCAGAAGAAAAUUGCCAACUAAAGAAAGAAGAUCAUAUUUUCAAAGUGGCUGAUAAUCUUAACUGUGAGACAGCAGCAAUCAACAGUUACCGAUGGAGAGUCAAAGUCCUUGAACAAGAAUUGGAAAGAACAAUUGAUUAUUUUCAAUUUCAG